AUUAUCUGGCACAGAUGCGACCAAGUGAAAUUAAAAAUCGCACACUCUCAAUAAAAGGUGGCAUAUGCCACAUUUUUGGUACCAGUCUGGAGCCCUGAACAACAUUUGAACAAUGAAGUUGGGCAGCCUAACGCUGAUAUUUCCUACCUCUUCUUCAAUGUCAACUAAAGUCACGGUGGGACCUUGGAUGUGGAUGCGCGCGACAGACCGACAGCCCAGGUUGUUGCUAAGCAAUAAGUAUGUAAAUAAACAGCAGUUGUGUGCACCCGCCCUUGCAUCCGAGUGAGCGUUCCCGAAUCUCCGCUAGGCACUCCAGCCAGGGUCCUCAAGCCGCUGCCACAUGAGAGGUGACCAUGAACCCGACGGCUGAGGUCCAGUGAUCCCGUAAGAAGAUGGGAGAAACUUCCAGAAGGCCAUCCGUCAUUGCAACCGAUUUGUGCUUCGCAAAAGCCUCAGAAGAAGACUCAAGAAAACCUACGUAGAGUUUGCAACAAGCCACCAAAAAGACUCCCAGACUGUGAGAAGCAAGAUUCUCUGGGUUUGAUGAAACCAAGAUUACAGAUUAGUGUGGCCUCAAUGCCAAACUUCAUGUCUGAAGGAAGUGGCGCACUGCUCAUGACCUGUGCAAAACCAUCCAGUGGUGAACUGUAGUGGUGACAGCCUCUUACUGUUUGGGACAGGAGCAGAGGAGGGGUCUCACAGCAGGGGGGGGGCUGCUGGGAAGAGGGCUCAGUAAUAUUUCCAGACCUGGGGAGGAGAGGUUCUCGGUAAAUUUCUGCAAAUCGUUUGCGAUCAUCUGUUAUAAAAAGGGGCACUUGGUAAUAUUUGCUGGCUUUGGGGAGGGGGGGUGGAGAAGGAAUUAAUAAAUUUUGAAGAAUUUAUACUUAAAAAAUUUACAUGUUUAAGUGUAGUUCUGUAUAAUAAAUUAUUUAGAUAAUGCAUAAGUAAUGCAAAAACAUUAUGAAACAGAAUUUUUUUUUUCUCGUACAAUGCGCCUGGUAGUCAGCAUUCAUUAAAGAUUGGUUCCAAAUGGUCAGAGUUUUGAAGGGGGAAUCCCCAGAUGUUGUUCCUGUCCCUCCCCAAAUACCAAAGAUACAUGGGCUGCAUCCUCGCCAAGAGAGACCAAUCCCAUGAUUCACUGCAUCCCAAGUUCAUUGCUCUUGCCAAGACCACAACUCCGGUCUUUGCAUUCUUGGUAUUGAAAGUCACCAAACAAAAUCAGCAUAUGUUAUGCACGUGCAGAGGCAAUAGAUACUCGAACAUUUUUACCCUCGAUGGUCAUGAUGCUCUUUUUAGGAAGGCCUGCCCAUGGCCCUUAUCAAACAGAAUUUUAUCAAUGAGUAAUAUUUAAACUAUAACUUAAAAUCCCAGUCUGGCUGCCAUCCAUAAGCUUGAGCGUGAAGCAGCCGGUAGUUGUGGGUAUUUUAUUUCAUCUGUUCGCACGUCGCCCUCUUUGAAUGAACGGCCCAUUAACCAAUAGUAAUGAAGCGCACAGUGAACAGCAUAUGAAAACCAUAUCAAAUGUGCAUUUUAAAAAUCUACGGAGGGCUGUCGCUGCAUUGCGCCAUGAUCUCUCCGACACAAAACAAAUAAACAUAACAAAUAAAUGUACGAUAUGUUCCCCAUUUGAGUACCUUUAUUAGCAAGAAAAUAUAUAUCUUUGAUUGAUCAAAAUAACCACCUCUAAUAGUUAUAACAGCAAAGAAAAUUCAUGGCAUUCUUUCUACAAGGGACAUUAAACGUUACUGUUUCAUUGGAUGAAACAGUUAGCUAGUGCAUUUAAAGUUAUAGGACAGCUUAGAAUUUGACUAUGCCAUCAUCACACAACCAGUUAAUAGGAUGUCAGACAUGCACUGUUACAUACUCUUCCCAUGUUAU